CGGCCGCGUCGACGAGAAAGUUGUGAAAGCAACCUGACGGUACCAGAGGAAUCAGCAUCGGCUAACUCCGUGCCAGCAGCCGCGGUAAGACGGAGGAUGCAAGCGUUAUCCGGAAUGAUUGGGCGUAAAGCGUCCGCAGGUGGCAGUUCAAGUCUGCUGUCAAAGACCGGGCUUAACUUCGGAAAGGCAGUGGAAACUGAACAGCUAGAGUAUGGUAGGGGCAAAGGGAAUUC
rnacentral:rRNA from 1 species